rnacentral:misc_RNA from 1 species
GGAGUGUUAUUGUCUGAGUGAGAGGGUGUAAAUUACUCAUCCAGGUGUACAUUUCAGGUGUUCCCGGGUUAAUUAGUCACCCUGAGUGUACUUGAGAGGUGUACCGCAGUGCUUGAUAGGCCUGGGGAUCUAGUACACCCUAAAAAUCACCCAAAUUAGGCCUAAAAAGGGGAAAAAAUUAGACCUCCCAGGGUAGUGGUGGUGGUUGACAGUAUUUAGAGUGUAUAUUUUAAGGUGUAAAUAAGACAAAACGUGUUGUCUAGGGUGUAUUUAUUGGAUGUAUGUGUCUUUCUUAGGGUGUAUCUAGGGUGUAAGGGUGUGGUGGACCUUUGAUUAGGGUGUAGGUGAAAGAUUAGGGUGUAUUAGGACAGAUACGGGUAAUUUAGGUGUAAAUUGAAAGAAGUGUGUUUUCAGGGUGUAAGUGUGAGAGAUAGUGUUCCUAGGGUGUUUUGGGGCCUUUAGGGUGACUAGGGUGUGGGUUUAGGGUGUAUUGGAUUAACUAGGGUGUAUUUCAAAGGUGUAGGGAGAAAAAAUAGGGUGUUUUUCGAGUGUAAGAAGAAUUAGGGUGAGAAAUCAGGGUGUAUGUGUCCGUGUGUGAGAGAGAGGGAGAGUGAGAGAGAGAGAAGCAUGAGUGAGAGAGAGUGAGAGGGAGAGGGAGAGUUACAGCAUUGAUAGGUGAUAAAGAGGAAGAGGAGGAGGAGGAGGAGGGGGGCAGCCAUGUUGAAAGGAAGGGGGUGGUUUGGGGGGGGAGGCCUAUGGAGGAAGAACCCCCAUUCCCUGGACCAUUUGAGGUACCUGUACAAUGUGUUAAGCAAGAACCAGGUGGUGCAGGAAAGUAACCGCGGCCUGCUGGUGGAGACGCUGCGUUCCAUUGCCGAGAUACUCAUUUGGGGUGACCAGAAUGACUCAUCUGUGUUUGACUUCUUCCUGGAGAAAAACAUGCUGUCGUUCUUCCUGCCGAUAAUGAAGCAGAAAUGUGGAAGUUAUGUGUGUGUCCAGCUGCUCCAGACUCUCAACAUUCUCUUUGAAAACAUCCGUAAUGAGACUUCACUAUACUACCUCCUGUCAAACAACCAUGUGAACUCAAUCAUCGUGCACAAGUUUGAUUUCAGCGAUGAGGAGGUGAUGGCAUAUUACAUCUCCUUCCUCAAGACACUGUCACUCAAGCUCAACGCACACACCAUUCACUUCUUCUACAAUGAGCACACCAACGACUUCCCUCUGUACACGGAAGCCAUCAAAUUCUUCAACCAUCCGGAGAGCAUGGUUAGAAUCGCCGUUCGGACAUUAACUCUCAAUGUUUACCGAGUCAAUGACCAAUCGAUGCUGCAGUUCAUCCGAGAUCGCACCGCAGCCCCGUACUUCUCCAAUCUGGUGUGGUUCAUUGGUAACCACAUCCUGGAGCUGGAAAAUUGCGUCCGGGGCGAUGUGGACCACAACUCCCGCGGCAGACUGGAGGACCUGGUGGCGGAACAUCUUGACCACCUCCACUACAUCAACGAUAUUCUCAAGCUGAACAUUUCCACCCUCAAUGCUGUCCUGGCUGACCAUCUCUUAAACAGACUGCUGGUGCCUCUCCUGGUGUACUCUCUCAACCCACGGCAGGAGAAGGAUGACCGGCCCCGGAUCAGCAGUGUGGUGGCCCUGUUCCUCCUGGCCCAAGUGUUCCUCAUAGUGUCCCACGCUCCGCUGGUCCGCGCCCUUGCCAAAAUAAUCUUCCACGGUGAUAAUUCAAUAUUUGCGGAAGAUUCACAGGUUUUCAAGGGUCAUCGUUUUGUGCGUCGGGGUUUUGUGGCCCCUGAGGAACCCCUGGAGAAGUCCCUACAGGCAAGAACUCCAGGGGGGUCAGGGAACACCACCCCUCUCGCCACUGUGGAGGAGCCCAGUGGAGGAGGAAGAGCAGCAGCAGGAGGAGGUGGUGGAGGAGGAAGAGAAGAUGCGAAUUGUGAAGACCCCAUAGGCAUUUCCGAUCUUGCCGCCACACACGUCAACAUAACCGACGAGGAAAAGGAAAUGAUGCGAGCCACCACCACCACCACCACCACCACCACUGCCGCCACCUCCAGUGCUGUAUGCAUUAGUGAAAGAGAAGAAGAGGAAGGAAGAGGAGGAAGAGGAAGAGGAAGAGGAGGAGGAGGAGAGGAGGAGGAGGAGACAGCAGCAGGAGGAGGAGGAGGAGGAGGAUUAACAGAACUAUCUUUAAUAUCUCGUCCCUUCCUGCUUUCCACAAUUAACGCGCUGAGCUGUUCUGGCGACGAUUAUUCCUCUCUGUUUGCUCUGUCUCUCCUCUACGCCCUCGGACACAACCAGGGCAUCAACCAGGAGCUACUGGGCAUGGUGGUAGGGGGGAAGACCACCACCAAGGCAGUUUACGAUUCCCUAUUAGUGGACAAGAUGCUGGAAAUUAUCACUCUCUCUUGCCAAUACAACUCCAAAGUGCGUGUGGCAACCCUGGAGAUGGCGAUCCUGGUCCUGAAGCAGCUGGUAGGGGUCGGGGGGCCAGCUGGCGGCGGCGGCGGCAGCAGGAGACACACUUACCUUAGGGACAACCACCUGGCCAGCCUGGAGGGGGCCAAGGAGGAGGCCACGCUGAUGCUGAGAAAUUUCUAUAAGAGUGAAGAGAUAUUCCUUGACAUGUUUGAGGACGAGUGGGUGGAGUUACAUCGUCGCCCCUUGAACGUGGAGUACCUUCUGCAGGAUGCCUCGGUACUCCUCCCCCCCGCAGGCACUCCCCUUACUGGCAUCGACUUCAACAAGAGACUGCCCUGUGGUGAGGUAGAGAGGGCCAGAAGAGCCAUGAGGGUGUUUUUCCUGGUACGUGAGGUGAGCCUGGCGGUGCGUGAGGAGAAUGACUCACACCUCCCCCUCACCAACCCCGCCGCUUGUGUCCAGGUGGCUGAUGUCCUGGAUUUGAACAACAGUGACCUCAUCGCCUGUGUGGUUAUUCCUCGUGACGGCCAAAGGACAAAGAGAUUCUUGGUGAUCGACGUUAUCCAGCUUAUCUUAGUGGAGCCGGACUUGAGGAGGCUCGGCUGGGGUGUGGCCAAGUUCGUGGGGUUCCUGCAGGACUUGGAGGUGACUGGAGAUAAGGAUGAUUCACGAGUCCUCCACUUAACCAUCCAUCGUCCGUCUGCUUCCUCCGGCCGCCCCUCACAGCCCCUCCUUGCUGCUAAGUUCAUUUUUGAUGACCAUAUACGAUGCAUGGCCGCCAAACAGAGGCUCAUCAAGGGAAGAAUGAAAGCUCGACAGAAGAAACUGCAUCAGAUUGCCCGCUUGCUUGAGUUACCCAGCCACCUCCAGCCUUGCCCCUCUCCCCCUGCCCACGCCCUCCACACCAUGAGGCAGGAGGCCCAUCGGCAAGCGAGGAACCGGGUGUGGAAAUGACAAGAGGAGGAGGAGGAGGAGGAGGAGGAGGGGAAGGGGAAGAGGAGGAGGAGGAGGAGGAGGAGGAGGAGGAGGAUGGGAGGGAAGAGGAGGAGGAGGAAGAGGAGGGAAAAAAUUCAUUGGCCAGCGUCUAGGAAGGGUAGAUGCCCGGAGCAGAAGUGCCAUUCCACACCGACCUCUUUUCAGUGUGUCAGUAGUACCUGGCUUUGCCCUGAAGAAGGAGGGAG